GACGAACGCUGGCGGCGUGCUUAACACAUGCAAGUCGAACGGAAAGGCCCUGCUUUUGUGGGGUGCUCGAGUGGCGAACGGGUGAGUAACACGUGAGUAACCUGCCCUUGACUUUGGGAUAACUUCAGGAAACUGGGGCUAAUACCGGAUAGGAGCUCCUGCUGCAUGGUGGGGGUUGGAAAGUUUCGGCGGUUGGGGAUGGACUCGCGGCUUAUCAGCUUGUUGGUGGGGUAGUGGCUUACCAAGGCUUUGACGGGUAGCCGGCCUGAGAGGGUGACCGGCCACAUUGGGACUGAGAUGCGGCCCAGACUCGUACGGGAGGCAGGAGUGGGGAAUAUUGCACAAUGGGCGGAAGCCUGAUGCAGCAACGCCGCGUGCGGGAUGACGGCCUUCGGGUUGUAAACCGCUUUCGCCUGUGACGAAGAGUGAGUGACGGUAAUGGGUAAAGAAGCACGGGCUAACUACGUG
rnacentral:rRNA from 1 species